ACUCAAAGGAAUAGACGGGGGCCCGCACAAGCGGAGGAGCAUGUGGUUUAAUUCGAUGGUACGCGAGGAACCUUACCUGGGCUUGAAAGACAGACGACCGUCUCUGAAAGGAGAUUUUUCGCAAGAACGUCUGUCUAGGUGCUGCAUGGCUGUCGUCAGCUCGUGCCGUGAGGUGUCGGGUUAAGUCCCAUAACGAGCGCAACCCCUAUCUCUAGUUGCCAUACCUUAACUGGUGGAACUCUAGAGAAACUGCCCGUGUAAACGGUGAGGAAGGAGGGGAUGACGUCAAGUCAGCACGGCCCUUACGUCCAGGGCUACACACGUGCUACAAUGGCCGGUACAGUGGGUCGCUACACAGCAAUGUGAUGCUAAUCUCUAAAACCGGUCCCAGUUCGGAUUGAAGUCUGCAAUUCGACUUCAUGAAGCUGGAUUCGCUAGUAAUCGGAUAUCAGCUACGAUCCGGUGAAUACGUUCCCGGGCCUUGCACACACCGCCCGU
rnacentral:rRNA from 1 species